rnacentral:lncRNA from 1 species
AAUGCAGCCAUAAAUAACAUGGACCAAUAUUCAUGGAGGUAAGCACUAAUUUCUGAUGGGUUUAAAGAUUGUAUUACAUUAUCUUACCAUAGUAUUUUUUCCUCUAAUUUGGCUCCCGUUCCUCCAACAGUGAGCAAGACCUCCAGCAGAGCUCACUGGAGCAGGGAGACAUGCCGUCAUCCUUUUGGCGCCUGACAAAAUCAUCCCAGCAGCUGAUGUUCCUGCACAGAGUGAGGAGAUCCUCCGAGCAUCAGGCCUCAUCCCUGAACAAAAGUUCAUCCUCCUGGCCAGUGUCACUGCGCAUAGGACGGGAAUCGUCCCAAUGUCCAGCGUCCCUGCCUACAGGGAGGGGAUUGUCCCAAAAGCUAGUGUCUCUGCUGAGAGGGAGGGGAUCCUCCAAACAGCCAGCGUCCCUGUGAAGAAUGGAAACAAUCAUCCACAACCACCUCCCAUCAUCCCCAUGGUGGCACCACUGUGGAAAUGGGAUGGUGAAGCGUGUACUCCACCUGUGGAUUUCUAUUCCAAAAGAAGAGAUGUCCGACUUAGAUAUGUUGAGCAUCCUGCUAUGAUGUCCAUUACCAAGCCGGAACACUCCGAGGCCAACCCUCAGUGCCAGACUGGCAGCCGGCCGGCCGGUGGCUGA